rnacentral:rRNA from 1 species
AGUAAUACAUAAGUAACCUGCCUAGACAGGGGAUAACUAUUGGAAACGAUAGCUAAGACCGCAUAGGUACGGACACUGCAUGGUGACCGUAUUAAAAGUGCCUCAAAGCACUGGUAGAGGAUGGACUUAUGGCGCAUUAGCUGGUUGGCGGGGUAACGGCCCACCAAGGCGACGAUGCGUAGCCGACCUGAGAGGGUGACCGGCCACACUGGGACUGAGACACGGCCCAG